rnacentral:rRNA from 1 species
UCGCUUAGCUGCAGGUAUUAGUGCAAACCAAUCGUUUUCGGACGUAGUUUGCUGACUCUGAAUACCCAGUAUAUCGACGGUUUAUCCGUCGAAAGCUCGGAAUAGUGUCUGCCCUAUCAACUAGAUGGUAGUCUAUUAGACUACCAUGGUGAUAACGGGUAACGGAGAAUAAGGGUUCGGCUCCGGAGAGGGAGCCUUAGAAACGGCUACCACAUCCAAGGAAGGCAGCAGGCGCGUAACUUAUCCACUACCACAGUGAGAUAGUGACUAAAAAUAAAAAGUCCAAUCCUAACGGAUCGGAUAUUUCAAUGAAUUGAGCUUAAAUAGCUCUAUGAGGACCUAAUGGAGGGCAAGUCUGGUGCCAGCAGCCGCGGUAAUUCCAGCUCCAUUAGUGUACAUCGAUAUUGCUGCGGUUAAAAAGCUCGUAGUUUGAUCUGGGUUGCAUGCGUUGAUACUCCUUUGGAGGUUAUCUUCGCUGCAGCUAAACUGCUGGUUAUCUGCAGGUGUUUUCGGACCCUGUAGCGGCUAGCGAGAUUACUAACACAAAAUCAAAUAGCUUAGAUAAGGCGUCUGCCUGAAUGUUCUAUGCUGGAAUAAUGGAAAAGGACUUCGGUCUUGUUUAUUGGUUCUUAGUUCGAAGUAAUGAUUAAUAGAGACGAUUCGGGGCUGUUCGUAUCAUUACGCGAGGGGUGAAAUCCGUUGACCGUAGUGAGACGUCCAAAAGCGAAAGCAUUCAGCAAGAACGUCUUCAUUAAUCAAGAACGAAAGUCAGAGGUUCGAAGGCGAUUAGAUACCGCCCUAGUUCUGACCGUAAACUAUGCCAUCUAGCGAUCCGAUGGGGUAAUUUGCCUUGUCGGGGAGCUUACCGGAAACGAAAGUCUUUCGGUUCCGGGGGUAGUAUGGUUGCAAAGCUGAAACUUAAAGAAAUUGACGGAAGGGCACCACCAGGAGUGGAGCCUGCGGCUUAAUUUGACUCAACACGGGAAAACUCACCCGGCCCGGACACCGUUAGGAUUGACAGAUUGAAAGCUCUUUCUCGAUUUGGUGGUUGGUGGUGCAUGGCCGUUCUUAGUUGGUGGAUUGA